rnacentral:rRNA from 1 species
AAGCUCGUAGUUGAAUUUCGGGAUCAAUGUUUCGGUCAUGCCGUUGGUAUGUACUGAUAUUGUUGAUUUCUCACCUUCUAAAGAACCGUAAUACCAUUAAUUUGGUGUCACGGGGAAUUAGGACUGUUACCUUGAAAAAAUUAGAGUGUUUAAAGCAGGCUCACGCUUGAAUACAUUAGCAUGGAAUAAUGAAAUAGGACAUCCGAUUCUAUUUUGUUGGUUUCUAGGAUCGAUGUAAUGAUUAUAGGGAUAGUUGGG